rnacentral:pre_miRNA from 1 species
CAAAUACUCCCUCUGUCCGGAAAUACUUGUCAUCAAAAUGGAUAAAAGGAAAUGUAUCUAGACGUGAUGACAAGUAUUUUCGGACGGAGGGAGUAGAAA